rnacentral:miRNA from 1 species
GACGUCGAUAUUGGACGUCAUAAACACGAUCAACGUUGGUUUUGAUGACGUCGAUAUUCGACGUCAUAUACACGAUCAGCUUAGAUGCUUAUGACGUCGAUACUUGACGUAAUAAACACGAUCAAAUUUGGUGUAUAUGAAGUCGAUAUUCGACAUCAUAAACACGAUCAACUUUGGUGUUGAUGACGUCGAUAUUCGACAUCAUAAAAACGAUUAACUUUAGUUUUAAUGACGUCGAUUUUCGACGUCACAAACACGAUCAACUUUGGUGUGUAUGACGUCGAUAUUCGACGUC